rfam:Microbial mat metagenome hsmat10_BHWZ4642_y1, whole genome shotgun sequence.
UUCCGGGUGACCGGAAGUCUGAAAGAAGCGGGACUACAAGAGUCAGUACGGACGAACAGAAACUACAUAAGAGGCAUAGCUUUGUGGGUGAGUAACCACAUCUUUGCGAAGCCCGUAGCCAAUAAACAUUGCUAUGUAGAUGUAGCCGCGAUAGACUCAAGGAUAAACGA